rnacentral:rRNA from 1 species
GAUGAACGCUGGCGGCGUGCUUAACACAUGCAAGUCGAGCGAGUGAGUUCUUCGGAACGAUCUAGCGGCGGACGGGUGAGUAACACGUGGGCAACCUGCCUCAUAGAGGGGAAUAGCCUCCCGAAAGGGAGAUUAAUACCGCACAAAUUUACGAGUGGCAUCACAUGGAAAUCCAAAGAGUAAUCCGCUAUGAGAUGGACCCGCGGCGCAGUAGCUAGUUGGUGAGGUAACGGCUCACCAAGGCGACGAUGCGUAGCCGACCUGAGAGGGUGAUCGGCCACAUUGGGACUGAGACACGGCCCAGACUCCUACGGGAGGCAGCAGUGGGGAAUAUUGCACAAUGGGGGAAACCCUGAUGCAGCAACGCCGCGUGAGUGAUGAAGGUCUUCGGAUUGUAAAGCUCUGUCUUUGGGGACGAUAAUGACGGUACCCAAGGAGGAAGCCACGGCUAACUACGUGCCAGCCGCCGCAGUAA